GACGAACGCUGGCGGCGUGCUUAACACAUGCAAGUCGAACGGAAAGGCCCUGCUUUUGUGGGGUGCUCGAGUGGCGAAUGGGUGAGUAACACGUGAGUAACCUGCCCUUGACUUUGGGAUAACUUCAGGAAACUGGGGCUAAUACCGGAUAGGAGCUCCUGCUGCAUGGUGGGGGUUGGAAAGUUUCGGCGGUUGGGGAUGGACUCGCGGCUUAUCAGCUUGUUGGUGGGGUAGUGGCUUACCAAGGCUUUGACGGGUAGCCGGCCUGAGAGGGUGACCGGCCACAUUGGGACUGAGAUACGGCCCAGACUCCUACGGGAGGCAGCAGUGGGGAAUAUUGCACAAUGGGCGGAAGCCUGAUGCAGCAACGCCGCGUGCGGGAUGACGGCCUUCGGGUUGUAAACCGCUUUCGCCUGUGACGAAGCGUGAGUGACGGUAAUGGGUAAAGAAGCACCGGCUAACUACGUGCCAGCAGCCGCGGUGAUACGUAGGGUGCGAGCGUUGUCCGGAUUUAUUGGGCGUAAAGGGCUCGUAGGUGGUUGAUCGCGUCGGAAGUGUAAUCUUGGGGCUUAACCCUGAGCGUGCUUUCGAUACGGGUUGACUUGAGGAAGGUAGGGGAGAAUGGAAUUCCUGGUGGAGCGGUGGAAUGCGCAGAUAUCAGGAGGAACACCAGUGGCGAAGGCGGUUCUCUGGGCCUUUCCUGACGCUGAGGAGCGAAAGCGUGGGGAGCGAACAGGCUUAGAUACCCUGGUAGUCCACGCUGUAAACGGUGGGUACUAGGUGUGGGGUCCAUUCCACGGGUUCCGUGCCGUAGCUAACGCUUUAAGUACCCCGCCUGGGGAGUACGGCCGCAAGGCUAAAACUCAAAGGAAUUGACGGGGCCCCGCACAAGCGGCGGAGCAUGCGGAUUAAUUCGAUGCAACGCGUAGAACCUUACCUGGGUUUGACAUGGAUCGGGAGUGCUCAGAGAUGGGUGUGCCUCUUUUGGGGUCGGUUCACAGGUGGUGCAUGGCUGUCGUCAGCUCGUGUCGUGAGAUGUUGGGUUAAGUCCCGCAACGAGCGCAACCCUUGUACACUGUUGCCAGCACGUUAUGGUGGGGACUCAGUGGAGACCGCCGGGGUCAACUCGGAGGAAGGUGGGGAUGACGUCAAGUCAUCAUGCCCCUUAUGUCCAGGGCUUCACGCAUGCUACAAUGGCUGGUACAGAGAGUGGCGAGCCUGUGAGGGUGAGCGAAUCUCGGAAAGCCGGUCUCAGUUCGGAUUGGGGUCUGCAACUCGACCUCAUGAAGUCGGAGUCGCUAGUAAUCGCAGAUCAGCAACGCUGCGGUGAAUACGUUCCCGGGGCU
rnacentral:rRNA from 1 species